CGGGAUCGAACCGUCGACCUCUUGCAUGCCAUGCAAGCGCUCUCCCAGCUGAGCUAUAGCCCCGAAUUCGCCAUCA
rnacentral:tRNA from 1 species